AAGUCGUAACAAGGUAUCCGUAGGUGAACCUGCGGAUGGAUCAUUAUCACGUAUCCACGUAUCAACCAUUGCGAACUGUCUUGACCUUUGAGAAGUUGAGUAAGUGAUUAGGUGGGAGUUGACUUCACGGUCUUCUCUUGCUGCUUCUCAAAGUGUAUUUAAUCACUUCAUUAUUAACAACUUUAACCAAAUUUUUAACUAUUGAACUGAUUUAUUUCUUACGCUUCGGCGAAGAAAUCAUUACGAAACAUAAGAACAACUCUUAGCAACGGAUAUCUUGGUUCUC
rnacentral:misc_RNA from 1 species